GAUGAAGAACGUAGCGAAAUGCGAUAAGUAAUGUGAAUUGCAGAAUUCAGUGAAUCAUCGAAUCUUUGAACGCACAUUGCGCCCCUUGGUAUUCCGAGGGGCAUGCCUGUUCGAGCGUCAUUAUAACCCCUCAAGCUCAGCUUGGUGUUGGGGCCUGCUGCACUGGCAGCACUUAAAAUCAGUGGCGGCGCCAUCUGGCUCUAAGCGUAGUAAUUCUUCUCGCUAUGGAGUCCUGGUGGAUGCUUGCCAUCAACCCCCAAUUUUUCUAUGGUUGACCUCGGAUCAGGUAGGGAUACCCGCUGAACUUAAGCAUAUCAAUAAGCGGAGGA
rnacentral:misc_RNA from 1 species